CCCUAGCCCUGAUGAGAACGGCAUCCUUUUGUGGUGGGGUUCGCCACAAAAGAUAAAGUGUACAGCAGGAAAUGGC
rfam:Flavobacterium spartansii strain MST NODE_1_length_1308521_cov_54.5264, whole genome shotgun sequence.